AUUACUAGUUGGUUAUUAUUCUGUUUCAUUUUGGUCUAAAAUUAUCAUUAGUUUUUGGAGAAGAAUGAUAUCUGCACUUCUAUAUUUAAUGUACUGGAACAGUACAACAAUAGGUAAUAGCCACAUUGUUUUAACAUGCUUCUGCAUUUGUGGUGUGACUGGAUGAUUCUAUUGUCUGUUGCUCCCGCCACCAUAUUGAAUUGUAAAUUGCACGUGUAUGUAUGUGUAGGUGUGUCGGCUCUAAUGUCCAAGCCAAUAAAAAUUAAUUUUUUAACUGGACACCUAAUUAGAAGUGCCUUGAGUAGUGGUAAUAGAUUUUUCAUAAACACUAACCGUGGGAGUAUCACAUCUAGCUUUCACACAAACUCUAGCCCUCUUUGUAAGGGGUGUUAGUUCUAAAAUUUCAUCACCUCAAUCUUUGGUCCUUAUUAAUUUUUAAUUUAUUUGUUGAAUACAUAUAUAAUACGGUUGCUUUGGUUUAUUCAUUUUUCUAACUUUAAAACUUUGCUUCAAAUUUUGUUCAUGUGGAAUUAUUUUCCUUAACUAAAGCGUCGAAAUUUUACAUUGAUGUUAUAUAUGUGUCCGCGUGCAACCAUUCUGCCAAAGAUGCAUGAUGCGUAUAAAUCAUGAUUAUACAUAUGAGAAGAUGUGUAUAUUAGUUAGCUAAUUAAUAACAAUUAACUUAAUUCUAUAAACUCUGAUUUCAAAUGAUUCCCUUUUAAGUUAGUAUAAAAAGAAAGUUUAUGCGCAUGUGCUGUUGGUAAUUAUAUAAUGUUAUUGCUCUAUCCCAUAUAUAGAUGUCAUCAAUAACUAUGUUAUAAUAAUAUGAUGUGAAAAUAGUCUUUUCAAUAAUUAUGCUAUAUUCCAAUAAAUUAUGAAAGCUUUUGCACAUUAGAAUCUGCAUAAUAAGAUUUGAUUCCUCUUAUUAUUUAGGCAAUUAGUACAACGUGGCAAUAUAUCAUGAGGUUCUCAGAUAAAAAGAUAGAUUCAUUGUUAUAAUGUUAAUUUGAUUUUUGAUUUCUCAGCUUUUGGAUACAUAGUAAAGAUCAAUUAUCUUAAUUUAUCAUCCUCAUUGACUUAUAUUGUUGCAUUUUAUAGACAGGGUAUUAAACUUGCUCUGUUUUGAUAUCAAAGAUUAAGGCUUAGUUAUAUUUAUUUUAAAUCAUUUGGUUCUAAUUAUAUCUUUGUUUUUUGGCAGCUCUGUUCCAUUGAUAGACUUAUAUUGUUGCAUUUAGAGCCAAACGAUGCUUCAAGUGUUCCUAAUACACCUUUGGAUGCAAGAGGAUCAUCUGGUGCUAGCAACCCUUAGAUUGCUUAUAAUGUAUUUCGGAUUUAGAGUUUAGUAUAAGGCUAAUUUGACAAUGUUAUGGAUUUUAUGUUGUACUUGAAUUUAUAAUAGAAGUUUGAAUUGUAAAUCUUUGAACUAUAUGUUGGUAUUUUGGUUAUUAGCAAUGGAAUUUCUUCAUCCA